AACGUCAAUAAUUUCAUGUUUAAAUAAAUAAUUAUAAGUGAUUUUCUCUUACAUAGAAUAGCAUAUCUAUAGAAUAAUUCACUUUUUAUGUGCCGCUUGGCUGCAUUCGGCUUCAGCCAAACGCUUGCACUCGAUGACACGGAGUGUUGUUUACAUCUACAAACGUGGCGACAUCAGCUGAGAUAUGCAGUUGAUUUUAAUGCAAUAACCGGGAAUCUUAAAAGAAAAUAGGGAUAAGAUAAGAGACAAGGCAUUGCUUAACCCUAUUACGAGAAUAUGAGGACAUUAUUUUGGAAGAUAAUGGAAGACUGAGACGAUCAUCAUCAGCUCCCUAGAUCCAUCUCUGCAGUACAUUUAGCCCAGCUAGCUGUCAAGAGUUCCAGGCUUGAGGAUGAAUAAAUAAGAAUCCCUUCCAUUUCUCCACAGGCUAUUCCCAAAGAAUUGGAUCUAUGGAUUCAUUCAGGCAGCAAGUUAAUCCAUCAUUUAAGGAAAAUGAAUUGAUUUCAUCCACAAAAACAUGAAGUGAUGGAAAUAAUUUGCACCUGCUCAGUAUUCCUUAUAAAGUCUACCUAUGAAUUUGAAAAGCUGUUUAUGAAAUAAAUUUUCUUGAUCAAUAAAUUAUGCUUUGACUUUUUCAUAUACAU